rnacentral:rRNA from 1 species
AGCAGUCUACGCAAACUACCCUGAAUGCACUUGACCUCAUGAUCCUGGAAGAUAAGCAGGGUCAGGUCUGGUUAGUAAAGAAAUGGGAUGGAAAAGAACUAGUCACUCUGCUU